GAUGAACGCUGGCGGCGUGCCUAAUACAUGCAAGUCGAGCGAACAGAUGAGGAGCUUGCUCCUCUGACGUUAGCGGCGGACGGGUGAGUAACACGUGGAUAACCUACCUAUAAUACUGGGAUAACUUCGGGAAACCGGAGCUAAUACCGGAUAAUAUAUUGAACCGCAUGGUUCAAUAGUGAAAGACGGUUUUGCUGUCACUUAUAGAUGGAUCCGCGCCGCAUUAGCUAGUUGGUAAGGUAACGGCCUACCAAGGCAACGAUGCGUAGCCGACCUGAGAGGGUGAUCGGCCACACUGGAACUGAGACACGGUCCAGACUCCUACGGGAGGCAGCAGUAGGGAAUCUUCGGCAAUGGGCGAAAGCCUGACGGAGCAACGCCGCGUGAGUGAUGAAGGUCUUCGGAUCGUAAAACUCUGUUAUUAGGGAAGAACAAAUGUGUAAGUAACUAUGCACGUCUUGACGGUACCUAAUCAGAAAGCCACGGCUAACUACGUG
rnacentral:rRNA from 1 species